AAGGAGGACGCCGCCGAAGGUGGGGUUGACGAUUGGGGUGAAGUCGUAACAAGGUAGCCGUAUCGGAAGGUGCGGCUGGAUCACCUCCUUUCUAUGGAG
rnacentral:rRNA from 1 species